GUCGCGAGCGACAGCCUCCAUUCGCUCAUGUCAAGGGGCAGGCCUGGCCACCACCUGGAGUGAGCAGAGGGAGAUUCUAGGAUCUUCUCCAUCUCAAACAUGGCCACUGCGGAGCCUCAGUUCAAGGUAUGGACUUGGAUGGGAGAGAAACAUGGAAGCUGGCUGGGAAGAAACUCUGAGGCAUUCCAGUCAGAAGCACCUCAGGGCUCUCGCUCUCUCUCCCUGUGCAGAAAGGCAUCAGAAAACUCUCUACCUACUGACAGGUGUUCACUUCAAAUAGCAGAGUGUGUCAAGGAUCUGAGAUAUGAAGACCUCACCCUGGAUGGAAUCACUGGGGGACCCAAUGUUCAGCAAUUCCAGCAAUCAGCAAGGAGAGCAGCAUCAGAUAUUUUAUGGAGACAGAAAUUUGUCUCCUUUAUUUAAAUGACAGAAGCUUGAGUUCACCUGAAAGUGUCUAAAUCAAAAUCUACAAACAAAGUAAGGAGAAAUUCCUGUGAGAGAGUGUUCCCUGGCUGGGUAUGUUCUUCUGCCCAUGCUGCUGGCCUUUCAGGCACAGCUCUUCGAGGGGCUCUUUCCUCCUUUCCACUCUGACAUUCAUGACACAGAUCUUCUUGAAGGCAGACAACUAUGCUGCUUGCCUCAGAAAGCCCACUGGCCUGGAAAUGGAUUCCGGGUGAGGAAAAUUAAGGCACAGGUUGGGAACACGAUUUGGCUAAGACGGGUAUUAGGGGGCUGAGUUAUAU